ensembl:lncRNA
GAAAACGGUGGUGUCACCACCAGGGGGCAGACAAAACCCUGACAGGCAAUAGAUCAGGCUGUAACCUGACACCUGCAUGGCUGCAUUAAGUGAUACUAGCCUGACAAGUUUUCCUCUGUUUGUUUGCUUUGCCUUGCCCUGUGGCUUUGGAUCUGUGUCAGAUAUUCACUGUGGAUUAUUAUCACUCCCACAAGAAUGACAAGCAUCAAUUUACUGGGAUGGAAAGAUUUUAAGACUUUCACUACUUUCCAUAAAUAUUUAGGCUUCAGUGGGAUCAAAGCAACAUGCUAGGAGUGAAUGGGAGUAGAAAACCCAGCAGGGCUAUUUUUCAACUUCUGCAUGCACCGACUUCUACUCUUCUGUGUUGAAGUCGGCGUCAUAGUGUGAGACCAUCACCUUGAUGCAGACCUCACUGAUCUGGAGACUCUGUCUGUUUCCACUGUUUGGAUUGUUCUCUGCUCUCUGGUUGGAGGUGGUGGACCCAAGUCUGAUCCAUGGUUACAGACUGCUGCAGAAAUCUCUCAGGAUCCUGCUCAGAAAUGACAGAUUGUCUCUGGAUCUGCUCAUCAGGCCCACAGGGAGCUGACAGCUCAGUCAUUUGGAGUUUGUUGUGGACAGAGUGCUGGAGGUUUCCCAGCUAUGCGCCGAUGUGUUGCUGUGUUAUUUGUCAGGCUCUGUCCUGUAGUGACGUCUCUGUGCUGUAAACUCACAGAUUUAAACUGUAACAUAAACUGCAUCACUCUUCUCCCUGUCACUAACAACACAUGGAUGACCGUGUGUGUCUGUGAGCUUGCAGACUGUUCAUUGUAGCAGUAUUAUGUCUCUGCAGUGUCUGACUCUGUGUUGGGUCCUCCAGUUCAGUCCUCUGGUGACAGUAAUGUGCCCUGCAUGCAGCGGCAGCAGCUGACCUCUGAUGUUGACAUCCUCAUCGUUCCUUUGGACGGAAUAAACAAUGACCUGUCUUGUCAGACGGCUGUUAAUGCUUUGGAGGUUGAGGGUAUCCAUCCCCAACAAGAUGGUGAAUCUGCACAUGAGAGCUCUCGUGCUGGGUUGGUGAAAGAAUCUAGUUCUUCCUCAGAUUCUCCAGACCAGACGGAUCAACCUCCUCAUCCUCAGAUUCAACCGAAACCCAUCACUCUGCACCUAAAGAUCGCCACCGAUGAGUCCUUCAGCAGCUUCCACCCUGAGCCUCACCUGCCCCUCAGCCUCGCGCAGGGCAGAACUUUGUAUGUGGAGGUGGGCCUGCUGGACCCUCCUGAGCCAAACCUGCUGCUGCUGGUUCGCUCCUGCUGGGCUUACACUGGAAGUCCAUACGGCAGCUGGGCGCUUGUUUAUGACGGCUGCCUGAGUCAGAGUGUUUCGCAGCUGCUUCCUUCCCCAAACUCCCACCACAUCCGGAGGAUCAGAGUUUCCAGCUUCCUGUCUUUUUUUCCCUACACGGCUCCACCAGAGGAUCCAGAGAUCUACUUCCUAUGCCUGGUGGCAGUUUGCUCUGCUGCAGAUAAUGACUGCGUGAUAAGCUGCAAAGGUAAGAUCAUACUACUACAAUUAGAGGAUAGUUAUGAUGAUAUGCUGAUAGUUUUAUCUCUGUACAAACAUGCAUACAUACCUAACACUUUGUUUUGGCCUCACUCGUGGUUAGAAAAAUAUCUCCAUGGACCUGCUGCUCCCUCAGCUUUAGAAAUAUGA